AGGCGCGUAGCUCAGUUGGUUAGAGCGCUAUCUUGACAUGGUAGAGGUCCCCGGUUCGAAUCCGGGCGUGCCUACCA
rnacentral:tRNA from 1 species